CAGUGCUUAAACUUUAAGCAGAUUUCUUUUCAAAAGCAUUCUUAAUGCUUAUGUGUUUACACAAUGAAAUACUUCGGUGGAAAGAUCCUGGCCCACACCUGACCAGUGUCAAGGCUAUUAGUCUGGCUUGUCAAGUUACCUAGGGAUUCCCUUGCAUCUUAGAGCCUUUUGUUAAUGUAAAGCUGAUGUGGCUGUUUUCUACUGCCUCUUCUGUGGUUCGUGUUGCAUGAAGUAAACACUGUGGCCAGAGUGCAGAGGAUUUCAUGCCAACUGCCUGAAAUACAUCUCGGCAUCUCUUUAUGUGUUCUCCCUGUAACUGAUCCAGUGCUGCCUUUCAGCAUAAACUGUUUAGGGCCGUGCAAUUUGGUUUUUCUGGUAUCAGAAUCCAUGGAUUCAAGACAUACCUACCUGGUCACAAGAAUGGAAAAGAUUCAGAAUCAGAUUGGAAAUGGGACACACUUGAAAUGGUUCUUUCCAACACUUCUGUUAUUUCAUCAGGUUGGCUUGAAAUUGCUACGUUUGCACCUGUGUGCCAUGGACAUUGCCAUGGUCAUGGAGAUUUUCAGAUUGUAUGCUUUCUGGAUGCUAAAGGUUGAUGGUUCACAAGCGUUAAGAUGCUUCAUCUGGAAUUAGUUGUACAUACCACAUUUCAGAUGAGUAAAUUAUCAUUUUUUAA